UGCAUGCUCGUAUGAUUCGACUUUCCCGGUGGAUAUUGGGUCCUCUAUGAGCCUCAAACUCAAGCCAAGAGACCGUCACCCGUAUGGGCCUCUAAUCCAUUUAGGGUAUCUUUCACAGUAUGGGCCUCUAACCCAAUUUGGUGUCCACCUAUCCCCCAUGUCCUCCGUGGUUGGGGCUCAAACCCAAUUGAGGCACGAUCAUUGAAGUCACAUCCCAUUGCCUACUC
rnacentral:lncRNA from 1 species